GGAUGCUUUCUGGAGGUGGAGGGAAGAAGACAUGAGGAGGAUUUUCAGAUAAAUAUGAAAUCAGGGAGACGGGCCUAAAAGUGGCAGGAAGGAGAGGGACAGAUUCUAAGAGUUGGCAGGGCUGUGGGUGCCAGACUGUGUAAUCAGGACUCAUCCCAUAAGGCUCUGAUGAGACACAGAAGGUCUCAGAGUCGGAGAUUGCCCUGGGAGCCAAAGGACAAACAGUGACACAGAAUGAAUGCGUGAUCUAUCACAGAUGGGGACAGAGACGAGGAAGAGCUAAUCAGGGCAGAAGACUCACUCAGUAUGGGGAAUACAGAGCUUGACUGGGGCUUGAGCAUUUCCUAACACCUGUAAGAACGGUCUCAACAAGAGUCAGGGAGGUAAAGUCGAGGUGACUGAAAGUGAUAUUGCAGGUGACACAGCAGAACAUGAAGACUGACAUGGAAGAAGGUGUAAGAGGAGUUAUGGGCAGUCAAUAGUGCUUCAUGCCAGGAACCAGUUGGAACCAAGCAUCUUGCACAUGGCUGGUAUAUGCAGCAGUUAAAAAAUGCAUAGAUAAGACCUCAAGUUUGGGAAUCAGUGGAGGAAUAAUCAUGUCUUUCUCUAUCAUUUGACUUUGUGAAAUGACUAAGAGUGAUCGCUCUCAUUCAGUCAUUGGUACAUUUGCAUAUCCACAGCAAACCAUAUACUAUUCCACUCUCUGAGGUGUGUUGUGGGGAUGAAAUAUGAUGACCCAAAACAACUAAGAGAGGAAAGGAUUUAUUUCUCUUACACCUCCAGAUGAUAGUCCACCAUCAAAGCCGUCAGGGUCGGGACUCAAAGCACAAAUCUGGAGGUGGGGACUGAAGCGGAAGCAAUGGAAGAACCCGGUUCCUGGCUCUCUCUCCCUCUGGUUUGCUCUUUGCUUUCUUAUAUGCUCCAGAGCCGCCCAGUUCUGCAGUAGCACCACCCACACUGGACUUGCUAUUCCACAAUAAUCAUUAAUCAAGAAAAUGUGCCCCAAACUUGCAUACAGGCCUUUCUUACAGGGACAUUUCCUCAGUUGGAGUUCUUCUCAGAUGACUGUGACUUGUGUUAGGCUGACAAAACUAGCUAGAGCACCAAGUUUGCUUUAAAACACUCUUUCAUUCCAUGUUUCCAGGGAUCAGGACAUUAAUGAGACCUGAUGUUACUAAUCAUUUACUGCAUACUGGACACUUGGAGCUUCUGUAGCUAAGAGAAUGGUGGUGUGUUUGCUUCGCUGAAGCAGAUGCCUAUAGGCCAGUGAACCUGAGGUACAAGAAAGAGCGAGACAACAUCUCAAACAGAAAAAGAAACACAGCAAGGCUUAUAUGUGAAUUCUCAGCAAAUUGACUUCACAUUUCUGCAUUUUAUCCCUAUGCAUUAGGCAAUAUGUCCUCCUUUUGUGUUUAUUAAGAAGCUCAUAUUUGCAGAGGAGUCAAGAAACAUGAGCAGCAAAAAUAUACUAAAAAUGGAUGUGUGAAGCCCUGAGUUUAAUUAUCAUUUCUUUGGAUAAGUUAUAAUUGUUAUCUGUUGUCAAGCAUGGAUCAACAGAUGUGAGGGACACUGUCGCCUGUAAAUUCUAUCCAGAGAAUAAAUGAAUGAAUACCAGGGAAGUCCCUUCACAUGGGCUCCAGACAUAUUCAACAGCAUCUGUGUGGAAAGGUUAGGUCCCUGUGAGCCCUGGCAGGCAAGCUCCUAUGGGUUAGCACAGAUGACCAAGCUCAAGGAUGUCUGUUAGUGGAAGGAAUCUUUUGCCUCAGAGACUGAUGAAAGGUUGUGAGCCAUGGAGAAAUAGGAACAGGAACUUUUACAGCUUGGGUGGGAGCAAUGUGAAAAUAGAAAACAUCUGUAAUCACAUUGUGCCUGGAGUUUGAAUGAAGUCAGACUUUAGAAGACACACAGGGUGCCUAUGUAAUCCAUCUGCUGAUGUUUGGGUUGCCAGAAAAUAAAAGUAUGCACAGAAGACAAAAUGAAGUAAAACCAUAGAACCCAUGCUCAAUAACCUCUUGUUGCUGUUUUCCCUGAUGUCAAGACACAUUUUUUAAAAUCUUCCCUGUCUUAGGAAAAUAGAAUACAUUUGUAUAAGCUUGUCCUGGUAUGAACUUAUAUUUAUUAGAUCUGUCUCACCGGUUUAUAUGUGCUUAAGCAUUGUCUUUCCAAUGUAUUUGAGGGGUAGGCUCUUCUAUACUGUUUUAAUCUAUUGACUUCAACACUGUGACAUAGCAUAGAUUCUGUGGCAGUCAUAUUUGUGACAUGCUGGGGACCUAAUGGCAAGUGUGACAGGUGAGGUACUUCCAGCAUGAGCAAGAAUGAAAGGAAUAUAGGACAGCAGUGUCAGGAAAGGGGGAAACUGUGUAAGGAAUCUUAUAACAAGGUUCAUGGACAGGCUUCAUGGAUAUUUUUCAUGGAAUCAAAGAGGUUAUAGCAGUAUAUGGAGAAACAAUGCUGUGUGGGAAGGUACAGCUUGCUUUGGAUAUUUGCAAAUAUUCUGAGCUAAGUAAGGAAUUCAUGGAAGUAUGUGUAGUGGUAUGGACCUAGAAGAAUACGAAACAAGAAACCAUUAGGCUGGGAGAGGAGUGGUAUCUGAGCAGAUUUUUCAAGGAAAGCUCAUUCGGCCAACUCCAUGAUGUCAGUCACCUGGGCCAUGACUCAAGAGAAAGUGUACAUUAAACAAAGCUGUAUUCAGACAGGCUCCCAUCUAGACAUUUUGUGUGAUACAGGGAGAUUUAUGUCAUUUAUAUGAGCAUCAGUCUUUCCAUCUUUUAAGUAAGAACAUUAGCUUUUCUUUUACAAGAUUGUCCUGGAAGAUGUAAAGAAUGUAAAACAAAAAUCUGAUACAUACACAGAGUAGAAUUUGAGUUAUUAAUCACUGGAGUCCCAUAGUCUCCAAAGCAUUAUAGUUUAUUGCCAUUUCUGUCAUUGACCAUCCAGACACCAGAGUGUAAGUUCCCUUUGCUGAAUACAGCACACACAUGAGUUGUAGAACAUGGCAAAAUAAAUCUUGCAACCUCCAUCUUUACUGCACAGAUUUCAUUGUGCUGGAAAGUUCUAUGAACACUACAGAAAGAAAAAAGCAAUUCACAGUCUUAUCCAGAUGUAAAACCUGUAAACUAUAACAAGGACUGCCUAGUAAGGUAUGGCCACUGCUGUAAUAUUGGCACAAAUGUUAUGGGAGUAACCAGCACCUUUAUGCUGGUAUUUAAGGAUCAAUUCACCAUUGUAACUCAUGCCUGGUCCAGAGAUAACUGUGCCCAACAUCAUAGCAACUUAUGCCAUAGACCUUAGGGGAUAACCUACUACUAUUAUUCUGUUGAGUGAAGAUAGCAAAACAUCAUUUCCUAUGUUGUUAUACCCAUUGGUUAGUGCAUUUCUCAGUUCUCAUAAUAAAGCUUCCAUUUGUAG